rnacentral:pre_miRNA from 1 species
AAUAAGAUUAUUUUUCAGUUUUUUGAUAUAAUGUUUUUUACUCUUUGUCUUAUUUAAAACCUUUUGUGAUUAAUAUUUUUAUUCUAGAUAAUAAAAUAUGAAUAAUACUUUAUGUGAGACUAAUUUUUUUAAGUUUUUUAAUAAAUUUUUUAAAUAAGAUGAAUGGUCAAACGUUAGACACGAAAAAAC